rnacentral:rRNA from 2 species
CAGACCUCUGAUCAGAGAA